GCACUCCCUAUAUAACGCAUCACACAGAUCGGCGUGCCUGCAGAGCCAGCUGACCACUGCCGAAAUGAAGUAUUUCGUUAUUGCCGCCCUCGUGCUACUAGGAGUUCUGGCCUGCUGUGAUGCGGCCUGUCCAGAGGUCUGCCCAGCACUGUAUAGUCCUGUGACGGCGGUCUGCAAGGGAGGCAGCGAAGUCAAAACCUUCUCAAACGCGUGCAUGUUGACUGUGUGGAACUGUGCGCAAAAUGACGACUGCAAAGAAGUAGCGGUGGCGGUAGCAUAAUGCAACCAAGAAGGAGAAAGCUGCUGUAGAUGAAGUUAUAGUGUCUCGUGCCAAAGUUCUGCCAUGUUUCAGUUGCCGUCAUUAAAAAAUAAUAAAGUGAUUGCCAUGUUCAGCCA